GGAAACGGGACCAAGCUGGACUUUGGGGGUAAGUCACUUUUCCAGCAGAGGUGACUCACAUGGUAUUAUAAAUAGGAGCAGAUCAUAUUUGAUGAACUCAGGAUGAAAAGCUAAAAAGCUCUGUCAUUUCUAGGAUUUACAAUGCGGCGAGAUUCUCCUGCCCCGAUGUAUUUCUUAAACACAGCUUUAACACUCACCACCAUCAUCAGUGUGUUAUCAACUUUUUUAGUGUAUAAGAUGAAAAAGAGGAACAACUGCCAAUCCAGAGCAGACUCAAACACAAAUAAUUCUGUAAAUUUAGAGAGCACCCAAGAGGACAACCUUCAUUAUGCUGCUUUGAGAAAAAUUAGGACGAAAGGAGCAAGAAGACAGACGAGCAACACCCAGGAGGAAUGUGUGUACUCCGAAUGUGUGUACUCCGGUAUAAAGUAAACAGUAGAAAUGAUGAUUUUUAGUAUUACCUUUCUGCUGUAGUAUUUUCAUUUUUUGGUCUGAAAGAAAAGAUAUUUAAAAAAUGAUUUAACUGCUAACAGCAUUUGAUCACUUGUAUAAUUUUGAAAUUCCUGUAAAUGUAAUUCCAGCAGAUACUUUGUUUUGGAUUGUUGGGUUUGAUGUAUUUUUAGUUUUUGUGUAUCUUUAGUUUUUGUGUAAUAAUGUAUAGUAUUAUAGUGAGUAUUAGUCUCCCAAGUGUUCCCGUUCCCGACUGUGGAGGCCCGUACUCACAUGGCCUCCACAGUCACCAGAUUCCAGUUCCACAGAGCAUCUUUGAGAUGCGAGUUUCAUAUUGGGGAUGUGCAGAUACCAAAUCUGCAGCAGAUGCUGUCAUAGCUGUAUGGAC